rnacentral:lncRNA from 1 species
GGGCGCGGGGAGAACAAAGGAGCAUUUCGGGCAAACGGGGAACACUGCGGCACCUACUUCGGACUCGGGGUGAAGAAUUGCGCGUGCGCACCUAAAGCGCGUGCCCCGCCCCCUGUCUUUAAACCUGGCGGCGGGAAAGGGGACUCCGCCCUUGCCAAGAGUGCACCCGCGGCUCCGAAAGGACGCCAUCCGCUAGAGCCCUUUCUCCCACACACUCACCCGCUCCCCGCCGGUCCUCAGGAUCCCCGCGGAGCCAACGGCCCGCAGGCCCCCGGCCACAGCCUUUCCCGCCACCCGGCUCAGCGAGACCAAUACCCGCCUGCGUGGGAGCGGGGCGGGGCGAACUGGGCUGGUGCAUAUGACCCCAAGCGAGCAGGGGGUGGUGGUGAUGAAGUAAGGAAAAGGGAAGCGAGUACACGUACUGUUUUAUCUGAGUCCAUUCCCUAUAUUGAGCUAAGAACCACAGCGCUAUGAAUUUUCUGCCAACUUAAAAUAAUAGAAAUAAAAAUCCGAUUAGAGGUAAAUUUACAAACAUUCUCUUCCCCUUCUCCUAGUCAAGUGGAUUAUUCCAAAGUCCCACUGGUUAGUUAGAAAAAUUAGGCUUUAUUUGGGAGGAAGUGGAGUUGAGCUAAGGGCUAGAGUGGUCUUUUGUGGGCGGGGUGCCUUUCACGCUAGAGAGAUAGGCUUAAAGCUUGCGAAGAGCAUGCAGAUGCCUAAAAGGAAGAGAACAACAGUAAAUAUACAUUGGUAAGUUGAGAAUCUCCUCUGGACUCUGCUGAGUGUAUUUUGCCCUCCUCUGAUGGGUGUAUUUUGCCCAUGACAAAAGAAGAUAGGGCUCAAACGAAUAAUUAUCUCAUGAAAUAUUAAUCAUUUGAAUAGAACGAAUCGAUUUCUAGGAUAUGAAGAGAGAAUUGCUGAAGAUGAAAGAACACAUGAGAGAAAAGUGAAAAGACGCACACACAAAAAAAGGAAAAUAAAGAAGACUAUAAAACUAGGGGUAAAAGAUACCAUUUGAAGGGUGUUUUGAGUUGCUCUAACUAAAUUAAAACUCUGAGGGUCAAAGACUCUUCCCUCCUACUGCCGCCCUCCCCCCCCCCCCUCGUGAUUUGCUCCCCUGCCUCAUGAUUUGCUCCAGGCAUCAGAUUUCCUGUUUUGACUUUAGGGAAUCCUUCUGUGGCUUAAGUACCUUCUGCCUGAAGGCCCUUUUGGGAAUGUCUGGCAGAACAGCUAAACUAGUUAAUUUUUCUAGAUUCUAGGCUCACCCUACCCCUUGUUUAGGUUGGGAGCUCACUGGCCCAAGGCCUCCAAAGAGAUCCAUCAUACCAGAAUGAACACAAAACCCAGCCAGUGGAUGUAGACAAGUUUAUGUGGCUUUACAGAACAGUUCAAACCCCAGUGUUCACUUUUCUCAGAGCUACUUCCCCACCCAAGUCCUUGGGGCAAGCAUCCCUGAGAUAAGUAGACUACACUCUUCGAUUAACUUCCCCAAAACUUUCUGGUACAAUUGCAACCUGAUCUGGGGCUAAUAACGCCAUUUCCUCUCUCCCUGCCUCCAGCCCCUUCCUCCCAACCCUUGGAAUGCCUUGUCUCCAUCUGCCUCCUGUGAAGAGUACUCCCUGCUUCCCUGCUCCUGCAGAAACCUAGGGUCAUAAACUUGACUUGGCAGCAAGGUAAAGGCCGAAGCGUAAAGGUCUUGGUUCCUGUGCUCACCACACUGGGUUGGGAGAGGAAGGUAAAGGAUGACACCUUUUUUCCCUUCCCUACCUCUCCUGCUGUGCCCCAAAACUUAGACACAGCCACAUUCACUCACAUUCAUACGCACAAUCAUGCACACACAGCGGCGAAGAGAGGUGGGAUGGAGAGGAAGGGAAGUUUGCACAAACCAGCUCAUGAAUGCAACUUGAAAGAUUUCACACGGCAAAAGGCAAAACACACACACACACACACACGCACAUAAAUUAAAAAAUAAAGAAAUACAUGUCCCUC